rnacentral:piRNA from 1 species
UAUCUUCUAGUGGGUGCCUUCUCUUCUUGU